UCUUUCCGCACACACAAAAUGCAUCAUUCAAUAAUUGGUUAUUGAAAAAAGUUCUUCACUCCUUGUAAAUUUUAUCUGCACACAAACAUUUAUAAAGUGCCAUUUACAGAAUCUCACAAAUUCAACGUAGUUUAGCGUUUUUUACGUGGUAGUUAAUAUUAGUGAUUAAGAAAUCUGUAUUUUAUCAACGCAGCUUUUGUUUUCAGGACUUUAAUUUUGGAGAGGAUGUGUGACGUCAUAAGGUUGCGCCGCGCUCCCGCAUUAUGUUGUGAUUCGGCAGAAGAAAGAAUGAUUCACUGUAUCGACUCGAUCGAAUCACCUCAAACACGGACGACUCCUGCAGGUCAAACAGUUUAAACAACGAGAACAACAAACACAAACAAGAUGAAGUGUUCAUAAACUGAGGAAAAACUCCUGGUGAAGCGACUGAGAGCCACGUGACGCUAUUAUAAAGAUGGCAUUUAUUAAAGAGGAGAGCAAAGACAUAAAGAUGGCGUUUAUUAAAGAGGAGAGUGAAGACAUAAAGAUGGCGUUUA